GUCCACGCCGUAAACGAUGGGUGCUAGGUGUGGGGGGUGUCGACUCCCCCCGUGCCGAAGCUAACGCAUUAAGCACCCCGCCUGGGGAGUACGGCCGCAAGGCUAAAACUCAAAGGAAUUGACGGGGCCCGCACAAGCAGCGGAGCAUGUGGUUUAAUUCGACGCAACGCGAAGAACCUUACCAAGGCUUGACAUGAUCGAGAAAGCCGUAGAAAUACGGCCCUCCUUCGGGACUCGACCACAGGUGGUGCAUGGCUGUCGU
rnacentral:rRNA from 1 species